AACGCACAUUGCGCCCCUUGGUAUUCCGGGGGGCAUGCCUGUUCGAGCGUCAUUAUCACCCCUCAAGCUCAGCUUGGUGUUGGGGCUUGCCCGUCACAGGGCAGCCCCUAAAAUCAGUGGCGGUGCCAUCUGGCUCUACGCGUAGUAAUACUUCUCGCGACGGAGUCCCGGUGGUGUCCUGCCAGAACCCCCCAUUUUUUAAUGAUUGACCUCGGAUCAGGUAGGGAUACCCGCUGAACUUAA
rnacentral:misc_RNA from 1 species